AGAAGUACUAAAUUUGUAUAAUGCUCCCUUUGAAAUAAGUCUUAGUAGAGGGAGGAAUGUUUUAAAUUGAUCUUAUUUAGGUCCUGUUUGCCUACUGAGUGCUAUAUAGUUUGCAAGUACGGAAAUUAGUUUGCAAUAAGCCAGUUAAUAUGUGACUGUGUCCCGAAGUGGACACUAGAUGGAGCUGAGACCAUAAGAGUGGCGGUUAAGACUCCAAACAACCAGGUAGAUCCGCUCGACCCUCUCAGAUGGAGCCGUUAGACUGGGCUUGCCCCGGCAUUGGUUCGAAUUGCGUCCUAUGAGGAUAGAAUGUAAGGAGGUCUCUCUAGCGAUCACUCCAUUGUGGACUAUUAGACACUGCACAUAACAUGUCCCUCACUGCCAGCCGAGGGUAAGGCACGGCAAGGGGACUUCUCGGCUUUCCAGAUGAGGAAGCAGGCCCAGAGUGGCAUGUGGGCUCAGACCCCGCUGGAUCUCCACCCCCCGCUGGACCAGCAAUGGGAAGCAGCGCAGCCCUCCGUACAGCAGAGGUGUGGGCAUAGCCACCCCAGGAAACUGUACCCCAGGAGGAUGCCCGAGUGAGGGGGGCCGUGAGGAGCGAAAGAUCUUCUCUUUUCCAGAAAUGCAAGAAAAAUAUCAAGAGGCUGGAUUCAUUCUUUAAACCUGUUUCAACUAUAGAUGCCAUCUCUUGACAGCCUGCUCUCGAGGGUGAGGAAAUGAGCUCACCCACUUCCUACCUCCUGCCCCACUCCCAGUGCUGUCAGCCGAUCUGAGUGGAAAGCCCAAGGCCUCUGCUUCCAAGACUCACUUGCAAGUUUGGACAAGAAGAUUCGAAAGCCCUGCUCUGGUGCCCACCACUGGGGCAGACAUUUAGGGCACAGCUGCUCUUGCCUGGGAGUACCAGGGCCCCCAGCAGCUGGUUUCCUAGCCAGGCUAAUGCGUGAAAACAGGGAGAAGACCCUGGGAGCUGGAGUGGCUAACCAGUCCGGCCAGGGUACCAGCAGCCAGCCUCGGGGCUUCUCCACGCACCAGGUUCCUGGUUCCUCAGCCUCAGGCCAACCUCAAAUGAUGCUUAUUCUUCACCUACUCGAAGCCUGGCCUUGAUCCUGAAAGUCAGCACGCCCCAUGGCAAGACCUGGAACACACUGGCUCGGUGGAGAGCUAAGGACACGCAGACAAUGCUCCUGCAGGCCCGGGUGCUGGCUGCUGAAACUCCGUGACGAGGUGUCCUCACUGCAGGACUUCUCAGAGGCUUGGAAGUGCCCGCCCACUUCCAAGAGGUUGUCAGCGUUUCUCAAAUUCGUUUGACCCUGGAAUCCUUUUGGUCAGGACCAUCUUGUGAGGCUGAUAUUAUGUGGAACACACUGCUAAAGGCAUGGAAAGAAGUAGGGAUGGGUGAGAACAGGAUGUGGGAGAGAAUUAGAGACUUUGAAAGGACCAAAUAAGGAGAGGGGAAAGGAUGGAACAAAAACUGAGAAAGAGCUCAAGGAAAGAAUGAGAGGGUACCCAGAGUUUCCAACAUGGAGGACCCAGGGGGCCAGACUCAGGGAAGACUGAGAAAUGCCUCCUACCAAGCCAUGAUAUUAUUUUUUUGUUUGUUUUUUUUUUGAUAUUAUUAUUACAUCUAUGGAUUACCAAUAUUAACAUAAAUAAGUGACUGCGGAAGAAGCUACCCCUGAGACUUCACUAGUGACGGGAAAGGGGACUGUUGCUUGUAAAGAAUGCCCCCUCAUGUUCUCCCACCGCCUCGUGGAAACAGUUGUGGGUACCCAGCCUAGGAUGUGCUGACUAGCCACCUCUGGUCUAGAAGUUUUUGUUUGUUUUUUUCCAAUUCAAAAACGUCUGCCUGGUCAUCUAGUUUGUGUGAAUGAGAGUAGAGGUCACCAGUGCGUGCUGGUUAAAAUGUCUUUAGCAAAAUGAUGAUUAUUUGCAGACGACAUGAUUCUAGGCCCGAAAACUUGGAGAAAAUCUAAUUUAAAACCACACGAAACAAUAAGAGGAAUCAGUUAUAUGAUUAUGUAAGAAUUAAUGGUGAAGAGAUUGAAUCAAGAUAGCAGCUUGAGCACUUGCUCCAACCACCCGUUCCAACCCAACCCUCUAAACAUGACCAAAGAAAUCUGUGUUUAUAAUAAUCCAUCAAAGGGUUAGAAACUACAAAGGGAAAUCCUCAUUAUCAGAAAUUAUGAGGAAUAAAGGAUGCUGAAAAGUGAAAGGCAAAUAGAGGAGACUAAAUUGAAGAUAAAAAUCUAACCAUAAAUGCCGUGAAGAGGACUCCUGUAAAGGGAGGUGCUGGCCGUAGGGGUGUGCCGCGUGGCGUGCCGGGAAGACGGUACAGCAAGCAGGAGAGGCCCCGGGCAGCUGGCAAGGUGACUGGGGAGGUGUGGUGAGGGCUUGCUCCUCCUCCACCCACUGCACCAAGCAGCUGGCAGCAGACAGACUAGCAGACAGCGGAGAGAUGAGAUCAAACCAGGGGCACUCAUUUAUCAUUCGGUGUGGGACACAGGGCUCAUUUUCUUCAUAAACAAUGAACACUGUAUCAAUAAGACAAAGACCAACAGCUGACAGCAAAACCCGGCCCAAAAUAGGAUCAAGCAGUUCACAGAGAAAGAAAUACAAAUAACUGAUACCCAUAUGAAGAUUCUGGAUCUCCUUUAUAAUUAAAGAAAUGCUAAUUAAAACGAAUUACAUAUGGUUCACUGUUUGCAAAGAUCUGAGAAGAUUGCAGAUGCUCAGGGCUGGUGAGGGUGUGGGGAAGUCGGGCUCGGAUGCGCUGCCGAUGGGAUGUAAAUUGGUACAGCCCUUCUGGAGGACAAUUUGACACUCGCUAUCAAACAGAAUUAUUAAGAUACUGG